AUUGAACGCUGGCGGCAGGCUUAACGCAUGCAAGUCGAGCGGGGGAAGGUAGCUUGCUACUGGACCUAGCGGCGGACGGGUGAGUAAUGCUUAGGAAUCUGCCUAUUAGUGGGGGACAACAUCUCGAAAGGGAUGCUAAUACCGCAUACGUCCUACGGGAGAAAGCAGGGGAUCUUCGGACCUUGCGCUAAUAGAUGAGCCUAAGUCGGAUUAGCUAGUUGGUGGGGUAAAGGCCUACCAAGGCGACGAUCUGUAGCGGGUCUGAGAGGAUGAGCCGCCACACUGGAGAUGAGACACGGCCCAGACUCCUACGGGAGGCAGCAGUGGUGAAGAUUGGACAAUGGGGGGAACCCUGAUCCAGCCAUGCCGCGUGUGUGAAGAAGGCCUUAUGGUUGUAAAGCACUUUAAGCGAGGAGGAGGCUACUUUAGUUAAUACCUAGAGAUAGUGGACGUUACUCGCAGAAUAAGCACCGGCUAACUCUGUGCCAGCAGCCGCAGUAA
rnacentral:rRNA from 1 species